rnacentral:rRNA from 2 species
GUCGAACGAGUUCUGAUUAUUGAAAGGUGCUUGCAUCUUGAUUUAAUUUUUCGAACGAGUGGCGGACGGGUGAGUAACACGUGGGUAACCUGCCCUUAAGUGGGGGAUAACAUUUGGAAACAGAUGCUAAUACCGCAUAAAUCCAAGAACCGCAUGGUUCUUGGCUGAAAGAUGGCGUAAGCUAUCGCUUUUGGAUGGACCCGCGGCGUAUUAGCUAGUUGGUGAGGUAACGGCUCACCAAGGCAAUGAUACGUAGCCGAACUGAGAGGUUGAUCGGCCACAUUGGGACUGAGACACGGCCCAAACUCCUACGGGAGGCAGCAGUAGGGAAUCUUCCACAAUGGACGCAAGUCUGAUGGAGCAACGCCGCGUGAGUGAAGAAGGCUUUCGGGUCGUAAAACUCUGUUGUUGGAGAAGAAUGGUCGGCAGAGUAACUGUUGUCGGCGUGACGGUAUCCAACCAGAAAGCCACGGCUAACUACGUGCCAGCAGCCGCGGUAAUACGUAGGUGGCAAGCGUUAUCCGGAUUUAUUGGGCGUAAAGCGAGCGCAGGCGGUUUUUUAAGUCUGAUGUGAAAGCCCUCGGCUUAACCGAGGAAGUGCAUCGGAAACUGGGAAACUUGAGUGCAGAAGAGGACAGUGGAACUCCAUGUGUAGCGGUGAAAUGCGUAGAUAUAUGGAAGAACACCAGUGGCGAAGGCGGCUGUCUGGUCUGUAACUGACGCUGAGGCUCGAAAGCAUGGGUAGCGAACAGGAUUAGAUACCCUGGUAGUCCAUGCCGUAAACGAUGAAUGCUAGGUGUUGGAGGGUUUCCGCCCUUCAGUGCCGCAGCUAACGCAUUAAGCAUUCCGCCUGGGGAGUACGACCGCAAGGUUGAAACUCAAAGGAAUUGACGGGGGCCCGCACAAGCGGUGGAGCAUGUGGUUUAAUUCGAAGCAACGCGAAGAACCUUACCAGGUCUUGACAUCUUUUGAUCACCUGAGAGAUCAGGUUUCCCCUUCGGGGGCAAAAUGACAGGUGGUGCAUGGUUGUCGUCAGCUCGUGUCGUGAGAUGUUGGGUUAAGUCCCGCAACGAGCGCAACCCUUAUGACUAGUUGCCAGCAUUUAGUUGGGCACUCUAGUAAGACUGCCGGUGACAAACCGGAGGAAGGUGGGGAUGACGUCAAAUCAUCAUGCCCCUUAUGACCUGGGCUACACACGUGCUACAAUGGAUGGUACAACGAGUUGCGAGACCGCGAGGUCAAGCUAAUCUCUUAAAGCCAUUCUCAGUUCGGACUGUAGGCUGCAACUCGCCUACACGAAGUCGGAAUCGCUAGUAAUCGCGGAUCAGCACGCCGCGGUGAAUACGUUCCCGGGCCUUGUACACACCGCCCGUCACACCAUGAGAGUUUGUAACACCCGAAGCCGGUGGCGUAACCCU